CAGUCACUGGUCAGGUGGCCUUGGAGCAAAACAUCAGGGAACUGGCCGUGCGAGAAGGAGAAGAGGUCACCUUCCAGUGCAGCAUGAGAGGAGGCAGUAUGAGCAGCUACUACAUGUUCUGGUACCGGCAAGGACCACGAGGCACCAUGGACUGGAUUUACCGGGAGGGUGAUCUCUAUGGAGAAGGUUUCCAGAGUCACUUUAAGGGAAGUGUGGAGAGCUCCAAGAACAGAUUCACACUGCAGAUCCAGGCAGCAAAGCCAGGGGAUGAAGCAGUGUAUUACUGUGGUGCUAGGCUCACCGUGGAUCAGCUGUGCAGCAGAGUAGACCAAAAACCACCUGACAGAGAAUUUCAGCAUUUUUCCGACCAUCUUCCUAGCAGCUGCUAG